ACAGCGCUAAAUGAUUUCUUUAAUGCAAUAAUGCUUGAACAGUAUCUUUGAGCGAUUGUCUGCAUGACUUAACUUUUGAUGAGUGCAUGCCUAAGAUUGUGUGUGGGGCUAUUAGAGCUGUCCCUAACUCUAGACAUUCUUGUGCCUCUUUCUCUAUGCCCAAGAUUAUGAAGUGUGGCAUUGGUCCAGCAGUCUUUCAGUUCCUUCUUUAAUGCUCAGAACAGUGAGACUAGACACUUUAGACUCUCGUGAUACAAUAUGUGCUUCAGAUAAGUAUUGAGAUAACCAGUGUAGUUUUUAAUUUGUGUGGUUUGUUUGGUAGUUGCUUUAUUAUACCUUUUUGCUAAAGAAUUGGGCGUUAUGCCUAGCCUUCUGUAGUCUAGCUUUUAUGGCUAAAACUAAAUCCCUGGAAUUAAAGAUUGUGAAGUUGUUAUAA